GGAGGGGGCAAGCGUUACUCGGAAUUAUUGGGCGUAAAGGGCGCGUAGGCGGUCGUGUGCGUCGGAGGUGAAAUCCCCGGGCUUAACCCGGGAGCUGCCUCCGAUACGGCAUGGCUUGAGUCCGGGAGAGGGGAGCAGAAUUCCCAGUGUAGCGGUGAAAUGCGUAGAUAUUGGGAGGAAUACCGGUGGCGAAGGCGGCUCCCUGGACCGGUACUGACGCUGAGGCGCGAAAGCGUGGGUAGCAAACAGGAUUAGAUACCCUGGUAGUCCACGCCGUAAACGAUGGGUGCUUGGUGUCGGGGGUAUCGACCCCUCCGGUGCCGAAGCUAACGCAUUAAGCACCCCGCCUGGGGAGUACGGUCGCAAGGCUG
rnacentral:rRNA from 1 species